GCCCUUCCUACGGGAGGCAGCAGUGAGGAAUAUUGGUCAAUGGCCGAGAGGCUGAACCAGCCAAGUAGCGUGGAGGAUGACUGCCCUACGGGUUGUAAACUCCUUUUAUAAGGGGGUAAAGGCAUCUACGUGUAGAUGUUUGCAAGUACCUUAUGAAUAAGCAUCGGCUAACUCCGUGCCAGCAGCCGCGGUAAUAAGGGCA
rnacentral:rRNA from 1 species